rfam:Streptomyces yokosukanensis strain DSM 40224 genomic scaffold PRJNA299221_s010, whole genome shotgun sequence.
GAGGAAGCCGGUGUGAAUCCGGCGCGGUCCCGCCACUGUGACCGGUGAGCGAGUUCCGGCAGGCCACCGCCCCGACCGGGGUGGGAAGGCGGGACGAGCGACGACCCGGGAGCCAGGAGACUC